rnacentral:rRNA from 1 species
CCUACGGGAGGCAGCAGUGGGGAAUAUUGCACAAUGGGGGAAACCCUGAUGCAGCGACGCCGCGUGAGUGAAGAAGUAUUUCGGUACGUAAAGCUCUAUCAGCAGGGAAGAAAAUGACGGUACCUGACUAAGAAGCCCCGGCUAACUACGUGCCAGCAGCCGCGGUAAUACGUAGGGGGCAAGCGUUAUCCGGAUUUACUGGGUGUAAAGGGAGCAUAGACGGCAGCGCAAGUCUGGAGUGAAAUCCCAUGGCUUAACCAUGGAACUGCUUUGGAAAAUGUGCAGCUAGAGUGCAGGAGAGGUAAGCGGAAUGCCUAGUGUAGCGGUGAAAUGCGUAGAUAUUAGGAAGAACACCAGUGGCGAAGGCGGCUUACUGGACUGUAACUGACGUUGAGGCUCGAAAGCGUGGGGAGCAAACAGGAUUAGAUACCCCGGUAGUC